CCUACGGGAGGCAGCAGUGGGGAAUAUUGCACAAUGGGGGAAACCCUGAUGCAGCGACGCCGCGUGAGUGAAGAAGUAUUUCGUUAUGUAAAGCUCUAUCAGCAGGGAAGAAAAUGACGGUAUCUGAGUAAGAAGCACCGGCUAACUACGUGCCAGCAGCCGCGGUAAUACGGAGGGGGCAAGCGUUAUCCGGAAUUACUGGGCGUAAAGGGCGCGUAGGCGGGAGAGCAAGUCCGAAGUGAAAGGCGGGGGCUUAACCCUCGGACUGCAUUGGAAACUGUUCUGCUGGAGUGUAGGAGAGGUAGGUGGAAUUCCUGGUGUAGCGGUAAAAUGCGUAGAUAUUAAGAGGAACACCCGUUGCGAAGGCGACUUACUAGACUGUAACUGACGUUGAGGCGCGAAAGCGUGGGGAGCAAACAGGAUUAGAUACCCUUGUAGUC
rnacentral:rRNA from 1 species